rnacentral:rRNA from 1 species
UACGUAGGGAGCGAGCGUUGUCCGGAAUUACUGGGCGUAAAGGGCGCGAAGGCGGCGGUCCAAGUCGACUGUCAAAUCGUGGGGCUUAACCCCACCCUGCGGUUGAUACUGGACUGCUCGAGGCGCAGAGAGGCAGACAGAAUUCCUGGUGUAGCGGUGAAAUGCGUAGAUAUCAGGAAGAAUACCAGUGGCGAAGGCGGUCUGCUGGCUGCGAACUGACGCUCAAGCGCGAAAGCCAGGGGAGCAAACG